AUUGAACGCUGGCGGCAGGCCUAACACAUGCAAGUCGGGCGGAGCGGCGGACGGGUGAGUAAUGCCUAGGAAUCUGCCUGGUAGUGGGGGAUAACGUCCGGAAACGGGCGCUAAUACCGCAUACUAUCAGAUGAGCCUAUGUUGGAUUAGCUAGUUGGUGGGGUAAAGGCUUACCAAGGCGACGAUCCGUAGCUGGUCUGAGAGGAUGAUCAGUCACACUGGGACUGAGACACGGUCCAGACUCCUACGGGAGGCAGCAGUGGGGAAUAUUGGACAAUGGGCGAAAGCCUGAUCCAGCCAUGCCGCGUGUAUGAAGAAGGUCUUCGGGUUGUAAAGCACUUUAAGUUGGGAGGCGUUACCGACAGAAUAAGCACCGGCUAACUUCGUGCCAGCAGCCGCGGUAAUAC
rnacentral:rRNA from 1 species